UAGAAAGAAAUUUCCCAUGAACAGUGUUCGGAUUAAGCCUUCCAAUGGCCUAUAUAUUUACCAUUCAGGAAGGUUAUCAAAUCUAUGGUGGAACUUCGGCGACCUGAAAUCUCAUUUCCUCCGUUCUGGUAUUCCUGAGCAGUCGUUGAAGUUAUUCAGAGUUACUUCCUCGGUUGCCAUUUCACUGCCGAAAGAGUUGAUUUUUCUUCUUUUUAUAUUUUUUUAUAUGUGACUGUGGAGUGACUUGUCAGGUAUGUACUGGGAAGUUUUCCUCAACACGUCUCCGCAGAAAAUCAAUUGAAAGGCUUUGGUGGGUCUACAAGCUGGUACACUGAUAAUAUUUCGAGAGGAGGUUCUUACACCAGCAAUAUUUGGACGACUAAUCUAUGCGGGCCACACCCAAAUGUUUGCCCCACAGCAUGUGUGUUGAACCCUAGACAGCUUCUGCGAAGCUUCCUUCCUGCCUCAAUUUUUGGGAAUAUCUCUUUCGCAUCUUGGCACCUCGGCUUUAACUUCUAAAAUCCCAGUUUCUUAAUUAAACAAUAAAAAAAAAUCAAUGGAUAGCAUUUUUUUGGGUAAUCGGAGGGAUACAUAUUGUUAUGUAAUUAUCAAUUAUCUGUUAUCAUCCCAUUUUCUUAAAGGUUUUGUUUUCUUCUUCUUAUAAAACUGCUGAACUGCAUAAUUUAUAAGAAGACAAAUUUCCUGCAAGAAUUAAUAUUACAAAAUAGACAACAUCGAAUGACAUCUCUUGCCCAAAUCGAGGGGCCAAAGUUUCUCAUGAAUGUUUCGAGAAUAUAUAUAUACGCACACAUACAGACGACAAUAAUUACAAGCUCAUGCAAUUUCCUCGAAGUUUCCUCCUCUUCGGCAGAGGGCUGAACAAAAUCGGCAUGCAGGUACCACCUUUUUUGUUUGCAUUGCUUGUUAUCGACGUAUACUUCUUUUAUGACCAGAAACCAGCUCGUGGUAUGUCAUUAUUGGUCGAGGUGAUAGAGUCGAAGGAUAUUGCUGCCUGUCAAUUUGGAUAUUCAGUGAGUGGCUCAAAUCAUACACGGUACACAGUACUUGAUGGCCUCAGACACCGACUAUUUUUCUCAACUUGAACGUAAUCUAUGUCACGAGUAUCUUUCAGUUAAGCCGACCUCAAAACUAGGCAACUUUCAUAGUCGUAGUAAAUAUUUAAAAGAUGGGCUUGGUAUUAUUUUUUAAAAUAUUUUUUAUUUUAAAAUAAUAUUUUUUUAUUUUUAAAAAUUAUUUUUUAUAUUAGCAUAUUAAAAUAAUAUAAAAAUACUAAAAUAUAUUAAUUUAAAGCAAAUACAAAAAUUUUAAAUUUUAAAUUAUUUUUUUUAAAAUACAAAAACAUACAAACACAUAGUUUACUUUGACUAGAUGACUUGUAGGAAAGUAUAAUGAGGAUGGUGGAAAAGCUAAAUAGAAAUGCAACCUACGGAACUAAGGCUGUAUGUAAUUAUGUUUUAACCUAUGUUUAUGUGUAUUUUAAAAAUAUGUUUGGAAUGAAAAAAAUAUAAAAUUGUUGUUUUUUUAUUGUUUUUUUAAUAAUUUUGAUAUAUUAAUAUAAAAAAUAAAAAAUAUUUUUAAAAAGCAUAUGUUAUACAAGAAAUAUUAGGUAUGUUCAAAUUUUAGAUGAUUGGAGAACUUCGAGAAGUCUACAAAGGUUGAAAUUAUAAUCCCACCAAGAAAGAGCACAUGCACAUGAAGCAUAGCUAAAUUAUAAUCCCACCAAGAGCACAUGCACCCUUUCCAUGCUAGAAACACAUGCUACUAUUUUUUUUAUUGCCUCUACCCGAUUUUGAGCGGGCAGAGAAAUUACUCUGGAAUCUUCUCCUGACACUCACCCUUCUCAUCUCUUAUGAAUAAUGUCUCAUCUACAAGAUUUCCUCCCAUUUUAUAUUUGAUAACAAAAUCAAAUCCUAUCAGCUUGUAUAGCCUCCUUUGUUAUGUAAUGACCCCACAAAUUUUUGAGACCCUGCUGCUAUUUUUUUUAGUUUCAGCUUUCUGGAAGUGGAGGCAUCUGUAGAAUUUAACACAAACAGGAGCUUGUUUAGGAAGUGAUGGAAUCUGAUGAUCUUGCUUAUGCUAGGGUAGUAAGCCCUUUGGGCCACAAAAGAGCUCCUUAUACUUAUUCGAGAGUGGCUACGUUGGUGGAGGAAUCCGGCUGUCUUCCUUGGUGGAGCUCCCAUCAUGAAUAGCUUCAGUAAAACCCAUUCUUUUGUCUUGACAGUCACCUUCUCUGUUUGGUGCUCAUUGAAUUUAUUUGGAAUAACAUUAGGAUAAUUAUAAGAUAGGAAUAACAUUAGGAUAAUUAUAAGAUAGUCCACAACGAUUUGGACUCUCUUCCAAUUGUAAUGCAUGCCUUAAUUACUAUCCUGACCUUUAAGUGUUUA